rnacentral:rRNA from 1 species
AUUGAACGCUGGCGGCAGGCCUAACACAUGCAAGUCGAGCGGAUGAAGGGAGCUUGCUCCUGGAUUCAGCGGCGGACGGGUGAGUAAUGCCUAGGAAUCUGCCUGGUGGUGGGGGAUAACGUCCGGAAACGGGCGCUAAUACCGCAUACGUCCUGAGGGAGAAAGUGGGGGAUCUUCGGACCUCACGCUAUCAGAUGAGCCUAGGUCGGAUUAGCUAGUUGGUGGGGUAAAGGCCUACCAAGGCGACGAUCCGUAACUGGUCUGAGAGGAUGAUCAGUCACACUGGAACUGAGACACGGUCCAGACUCCUACGGGAGGCAGCAGUGGGGAAUAUUGGACAAUGGGCGAAAGCCUGAUCCAGCCACGCCGCGUGUGUGAAGAAGGUCUUCGGAUUGUAAAGCACUUUAAGUUGGGAGGAAGGGCAGUAAGUUAAUACCUUGCUGUUUUGACGUUACCAACAGAAUAAGCACCGGCUAACUUCGUG